UGGGGAAUAUUGCACAAUGGGCGCAAGCCUGCUGCAGCCAUGCCGCGUGUAUGAAGAAGGCCUUCGGGUUGUAAAGUACUUUCAGCGGGGAGGAAGGCGAUAAGGUUAAUAACCUUGUCGAUUGACGUUACCCGCAGAAGAAGCACCGGCUAACUCCGUGCCAGCAGCCGCGGUAAUACGGAGGGUGCAAGCGUUAAUCGGAAUUACUGGGCGUAAAGCGCACGCAGGCGGUCUGUCAAGUCGGAUGUGAAAUCCCCGGGCUCAACCUGGGAACUGGAUUCGAAACUGGCAGGCUAGAGUCUUGUAGAGGGGGGUAGAAUUCCAGGUGUAGCGGUGAAAUGCGUAGAGAUCUGGAGGAAUACCGGUGGCG
rnacentral:rRNA from 1 species